AACAUCGCCUCUUGCCCCCCCCCGUAUAAGAGGUCCCGCCUGCCCUGUGACGAAAGUUUAACGGCCGCGGUAUUUUGACCGUGCGAAGGUAGCGUAAUCACUUGUCUUUUAAAUGGAGACCUGUAUGAAUGGCAUAACGAGGGCUCAACUGUCUCCUUCCUCUAGUCAAUGAAAUUGAUCUGCCCGUGCAGAAGCGGGCAUGCACCCAUAAGACGAGAAGACCCUAUGGAGCUUAAAACACCAGGAGACUUCGUGUUAAAGACCCCUUAUAAUGGGACCAAACAAAACGACCUCUCUUCUAAUGUUUUUGGUUGGGGCGACCGCGGGGCAACACAAAACCCCCACGUGGAAAGAGAUGACUCUCCAAGCCUAGAGCCGCAGCUCGAAUAAUCAGAAAUUCUGACCAUCUGAUCCGGCAACGCCGAUUAACGGACCCAGUUACCCUAGGGAUAACAGCGCAAUCCCCUUCUAGAGCCCAUAUCGACAAGGGGGUUUACGACCUCGAUGUUGGAUCAGGACCUCCUAAUGGUGCAGCCGCUAUUAAGGGUUCGUUUGUUCAACGAUUAAAGUCCUACGUGA
rnacentral:rRNA from 1 species